rnacentral:rRNA from 1 species
UGGGGAAUUUUGGACAAUGGGCGCAAGCCUGAUCCAGCAAUGCCGCGUGCAGGAAGAAGGCCUUCGGUUGUAAACUGCUUUUGUACGGAGCGAAAAGGCUCUCUCUAAUACAGGGGGCUGAUGACGGUACCGUAAGAAUAAGCACCGGCUAACUACGUGCC